rnacentral:sRNA from 1 species
GUCAAGAACCUGACGGGAUAAACCCGUAGGCAUGAAAGUGCCUUGCUUGACUAGCCUAAGGUCGUAGAGACCUACGUUACCGGCGAAUGCAUAGGCACCGGCGGAUGUUGUCCUAGUCCGCCGCUCUGC